GAGGACUCGGCAGGACUCUUGUCUUCUUGGAGGCUACUGUCAGAAAACAUCACAAUCUAGCAGGAUAACGGAGCACGUUGACGUCGGCUGGGCGGCGCAUGUCCGCCCCGCCCUUGGGGGCUUCAAAGUUUCUCAGAACUUAAGGGUUCUUGAGCUUCCAUCCGAAAACUGCCACACAUCUUGAGCUCGCGGGGUACUACGCCGAACGGGGGUGUGUGAAGGACCUGGAAAGAGGUUGGAGACAGAGGAAGGAAAAGAGCCAGUUGUGUGGUUGUGCUACAGAAGGUUAACACUACGGCGCUGUCUUUCCCCUCACACGUGGAGCCAGAGGAAACAGCUUUUGAACUUAUAAUGAGCACACACACACAGCCUUCGCUAUCGCCUUCCCAUGUUCCCAUCAACUAGAUAUUCUAGAUCACAAGGGCACCUACUGUAAUCACGAUGUCAAUGACUGAAGAUUACACGGAAAGAGCCGCUCAGAAGCUGGUAAUUAUUACCAGUCCACUAAUAGCAAGCGAUGCAUUGCCAUUUCACCACGAAAUCUGCAUUUCUCUCUGCUCAUGCUGGCGCACCACACUGUAUUACGGUGCUCACAGAUUCUAAAUUCCUAAACUGCAGUCAUCAAUAAAUGUGUUACUCGCUG
rnacentral:lncRNA from 1 species